rnacentral:tRNA from 1 species
GCCGUCCUAGCUCAAUGGUUAGAGCAGCUGUUUUGUAAACAGCAGGUUCUCGGUUCAAAUCCGAGGGACGGCU